rnacentral:lncRNA from 1 species
GUUUGCCAUGGGGUGCCCCUGGUGACUAUUUCAAGAGGCAGAGUGGUGUAUGAAGCAGGCGUUUUCGACGUCACAGCAGGACACGGGAAGUUUAUUCCGCGACAACCUUUCGCUGAGUUCAUUUACAAACGAGUCAAGCAGCGAGACCAGGGUCAUUGUUCUGAUUUUGAGAUUGUUACGUGAGAUGUGAAUGCUUGGCCAUCACGGCGAAGGGCAAGUGUAACUUGAUACCAUUUUCUCAACUCUUUAUAACCCUGCCAACUUUCAAAAUAAAAAAAUUUAAAAAAUGA